UCGUGGAGUGAUCUGUCUGCUUAAUUGCGUUUCACAAUAAUGGGCAUUUAGGAGUUACUUGCGCACACAGAGUUUGUAGUAUUUUGCUCUUUGCAAAAUACUCCUCUGUUGUUGCGCGGUAUCUCUGUCAUCAUGCCCUGAAGGCAACGAACGUGACCGCAACAUCUUGUUACUUUUUCUUUACUUGGGGGAAAAUAAUCCACUCGUUGGGUUUUUUUCCUUGCCAGUAGUA
rnacentral:rRNA from 1 species